AACCUUAUGGUCUAAAACAAAUGAUUUUAAAUUGCAAAUUUAAAGAUAAACUUUAAGUUUUAAGGUUU
rnacentral:tRNA from 1 species